rnacentral:rRNA from 1 species
AGUGAACGCUGGCGGCGUGCCUAAUACAUGCAAGUCGAACGCGAAAGUCCUUCGGGAUGAGUAAAGCGGCGCACGGGUGAGUAAUGGUUGAGAACGUGCCCUGAGGUGGGGAAUAACAGUUGGAAACGACUGCUAAUACCGCAUGGUUUCGAAAGAAUAAAGGUGGGGAUCGCAAGACCUACCGCCACAGGAUCGGCUCAACUCCCAUUAGCUAGUUGGCAGGGUAAUGGCCUACCAAGGCAACGAUGGGUAUCUGGUCUUAGAGGAUGAUCAGACACACUGGAACUGAGACACGGUCCAGACUCCUACGGGAGGCAGCAGUAGGGAAUAUUGCACAAUGGGGGAAACCCUGAUGCAGCAACGCCGUGUGAGUGAAGAAGGCCCUUGGGUUGUAAAGCUCUUUAGCCUGGAAAGAAGUGCCUGUAAGUAAAUAAUUUGCAGGUGUGACGGUACCAGGAGAAUAAGGACCGGCUAAUUUCGUGCCAGCAGCCGCCGCGG